UACAGAGGGAGCAAGCGUUGUUCGGAAUUAUUGGGCGUAAAGAGCUCGUAGGCGGCUUGGCAAGUCGGAUGUGAAAACUCCAGGCUCAACCUGGAGCCGCCAUUCGAUACUGCUAUGGCUAGAGUCCGGUAGGGGAGUGUGGAAUUCCCGGUGUAGCGGUGAAAUGCGCAGAUAUCGGGAGGAACACCGAUGGCGAAGGCAGCACUCUGGGCCGGCACUGACGCUGAGGAGCGAAAGCGUGGGGAGCGAACAGG
rnacentral:rRNA from 1 species